rnacentral:lncRNA from 1 species
UGAGGUGAAUCUGUGGGACAGAGCCCUCAUGGAGCUUUCCGUAAAGCAGCUGGCAGCUUCAAGGGCAAAGUGGAAGUACCCAGGGAAUGUGGUGAACUGGAACCAGCUGGUAGCUAAAAAACCUCCCAUGGUGCAGAUCAGAUCUCCAAGCAAAGACCCAGGUGCUGCCUUCUUGUGGUUUGGCAUCCUCCGGCUCAGAGGAAAAAAAUCAGUUUUGUGUGCAGAUCCAGAGCAGUCCCUGAUUUACAUUGAACCUGUGUCGAAUGAGUGCCUCAAACAUGCUUUCUGGGGGCUGCAGCAGAAUGGACGACUCCGUAAUGUUGCAAACCCUUCAUCUUGUGUCAUGGUAAAUGGAA